rnacentral:tRNA from 1 species
AUAAAGUUGGCAGAAUAAUGUGAAUAAUUUAGGUUUAUUUUAAAAGAUAUUUAUAUCUUACUUUAUA